GUUGAAUAUGAUGAUUCUACACGCCAUGUUGUCACUGCUCUACUUCGGAAUUGCAGUUAUGAAGUUAUCGAAAUAGCAAAUGGAUUACAAGCAUGGAAGAUACUAGAAGAUUUGACCAAUCACAUUGACGUUGUCUUAACUGAGGUAGUCCUGCCUCAAUUAUCUGGAAUUGGUCUUUUAUGCAAAAUUAUGAGCCACAAGACACGCC
rnacentral:misc_RNA from 1 species